rnacentral:rRNA from 1 species
GAAUUCGCCCUUUCCGUAGGUGAACCUGCGGAAGGAUCAUUAUCGAGUUAUUGAAACGGGUUGUAGCUGGCCUUACGAGGCAUGUGCACGCCCUGCUCAUCCACUCUACACCUGUGCACUUACUGUGGGUUUCAGGAGCUUCGAAAGCGGAGGGCCUUUGUGGGCUUUUCGUUAUUAGUUGUGACUGGGCUCAUGUCCACUACAAACUCUUAUAAAGUAACAGAAUGUGUAUUGCGAUGUAACGCAUCUAUAUACAACUUUCAGCAACGGAUCUCUUGGCUCUCGCAUCGAUGAAGAACGCAGCGAAAUGCGAUAAGUAAUGUGAAUUGCAGAAUUCAGUGAAUCAUCGAAUCUUUGAACGCACCUUGCGCUCCUUGGUAUUCCGAGGAGCAUGCCUGUUUGAGUGUCAUGAAAUUCUCAACCUGACGGGUUCUUAACGGAGCUUGGUUCAGGCUUGGACUUGGAGGCUUGUCGGCUUGCUUUGUCGAGUCGGCUCCUCUCAAAUGCAUUAGCUUGGUUCUUUGCGGAUCGGCUCACGGUGUGAUAAUUGUCUACGCCGCGACCGUUGAAGCGUUUGAAUGGGCCAGCUUAUAGUCGUCUCCAUCGCGAGACAACAUUUCAUCGAACUCUGACCUCAAAUCAGGUAGGACUACCCGCUGAACUUAAGCAUAUCAAUAAGCGGAGGAAAGGGCGAAUUC